GGAGGGAUCAUUACAGAGUUUUCUAAACUCCCAACCCUAUGUGAACUUACCUUUGUUGCUUCGGCGGCGGAGGCUACCCUAUAGGGGAUACCACAUAGUGGUUACCCUGUAGUCCCAGGUGCUAGAUCGUGCUCAACGUCUUAUCGUCUACGACUAGCUACCCGGUGGCCCUCCCCGCCGGCGGCCAACUAAACUCUGUUUUUAUGGCAUUCUGAAUUAUAAACUUAAUAAGUUAAAACUUUCAACAACGGAUCUCUUGGUUCUGGCAUCGAUGAAGAACGCAGCGAAAUGCGAUAAGUAAUGUGAAUUGCAGAAUUCAGUGAAUCAUCGAAUCUUUGAACGCACAUUGCGCCCAUUAGCAUUCUAGUGGGCAUGCCUGUUCGAGCGUCAUUUCACCACUUAAGCCCUGUUGCUUAGCGUUGGGAGCCUACGGCACUGCCCGUAGCUCCCUAAAGUGAUUGGCGGAGUUGGUUCUCACUCUAGGCGUAGUAAAUCUAUCUCGCCUCUGUAGUGGUUCCGGCCCCUGCCGUGAAACCCCCUAUAUCAAAGGUUGACCUCGGAUCAGGUAGGAAUACCCGCUGAACUUAAGCAUAU
rnacentral:rRNA from 1 species